rnacentral:rRNA from 1 species
UACAGAGGGGGCAAGCGUUGUUCGGAAUUACUGGGCGUAAAGGGCGCGUAGGCGGCCUUCUAAGUCGAACGUGAAAUCCCUGGGCUCAACCCAGGAACUGCGUCCGAUACUGGGAGGCUUGAAUCCGGGAGAGGGAUGCGGAAUUCCAGGUGUAGCGGUGAAAUGCGUAGAUAUCGGGAGGAACACCUGUGGCGAAAGCGGCUCACUGGACCACAACUGACGCUGAGGCGCGAAAGCUAGGGGAGCAAACAGG